rnacentral:rRNA from 1 species
UACGGAGGGUGCGAGCGUUGUCCGGAAUCACUGGGCGUAAAGGGCGCGUAGGCGGCGCGACAAGUCAGGCGUGAAAGCCCCGGGCUCAACCCGGGAAUUGCGCUUGAUACUGUCGUGCUUGAGGCCGGGAGAGGAUGGCGGAAUUCCCAGUGUAGAGGUGAAAUUCGUAGAUAUUGGGAAGAACACCGGUGGCGAAGGCGGCCAUCUGGACCGGUUCUGACGCUGAGGCGCGAAAGCGUGGGGAGCAAACAGG